rnacentral:rRNA from 1 species
AGGACGAACGCUGGCGGCGUGCUUAACACAUGCAAGUCGAGCGGAAAGGCCCUUCGGGGUACUCGAGCGGCGAACGGGUGAGUAACACGUGAGCAAUCUGCCCUUAGCUUCGGGAUAGCUCCGGGAAACCGGAAUUAAUACCGAAUACGACCCCGGCCGACAUCGGCUGUGGUGGAAAGUUUUUCGGCUAGGGAUGAGCUCGCGGCCUAUCAGCUUGUUGGUGGGGUAACGGCCUACCAAGGCGACGACGGGUAG